GCAAGGGAUAGCUCAGGCGGUAGAGAAUGUGAUUCUUAAUCUCAGGGGUUGUAGGUUCGAGCUAUAAAAAGAUUCCUGCA